rnacentral:rRNA from 1 species
AGAGUUUGAUCAUGGCUCAGAACGUACGCUGGCGGCACGCCUAACACAUGCAAGUCGAACGAAGUAGCAAUACUUAGUGGCAGACGGGUGAGUAACAUGUAGGUAUCUGCCCUUUGGCCUGGAAUAACACGAGGAAACUUGUGCUAAUACCGGAUAAGUCUUUACGGAGAAAGCUUUAUGCACCAUUGGAUGAGCCUGCACUUGAUUAGUUUGUUGGUGGGGUAAUGGCCUACCAAGACUGUGAUCAAUAGCUGAUUUGAGAGGAUGAUCAGCCACAUUGGGACUGAGACACGGCCCAAACUCCUACGGGAGGCAGCAGUAGGGAAUCUUGCACAAUGGGGGAAACCCUGAUGCAGCGAUGCCGCGUGAGUGAAGAAGGCCUUUGGGUUGUAAAGCUCUUUCGUCGGGGAAGAAAAUGACUGUACCCGAAUAAGAAGGUCCGGCUAACUUCGUGCCAGCAGCCGCGGUAAUACGAAGGGACCUAGCGUAGUUCGGAAUUACUGGGCUUAAAGAGUUCGUAGGUGGUUAAAAAAGUUGGUGGUGAAAUCCCAGAGCUUAACUCUGGAACUGCCAUCAAAACUUUUUAGCUAGAGUAUGAUAGAGGAAAGCAGAAUUUCUAGUGUAGAGGUGAAAUUCGUAGAUAUUAGAAAGAAUACCAAUUGCGAAGGCAGCUUUCUGGAUCAUUACUGACACUGAGGAACGAAAGCAUGGGUAGCGAAGAGGAUUAGAUACCCUCGUAGUCCAUGCCGUAAACGAUGUGUGCUAGACGUUGGAAAUAUAUUUUUCAGUGUCGCAGCGAAAGCAUUAAGCACACCGCCUGGGGAGUACGACCGCAAGGUUAAAACUCAAAUGAAUUGACGGGGACCCGCACAAGCAGUGGAGCAUGUGGUUUAAUUCGAAGAUACGCGCAGAACCUUACCAACACUUGACAUGUUCGUCGCGACUCUAAGAGAUUAGAGUUUUCGGUUCGGCCGGACGAAACACAGGUGCUGCAUGGCUGUCGUCAGCUCGUGUCGUGAGAUGUUGGGUUAAGUCCCGCAACGAGCGCAACCCUCACUUUUAGUUGCCAUCAUUAAGUUGGGCACUCUGAAAGAACUGCCAGUGAUAAGCUGGAGGAAGGUGGGGAUGACGUCAAGUCCUCAUGGCCCUUACGGGUUGGGCUACACACGUGCUACAAUGGUAUCUACAACAGGAAGCAAAACUGCGAAGUUAAGCAAAUCCCUAAAAGAUACCUCAGUUCGGAUUGCACUCUGCAACUCGAGUGCAUGAAGCUGGAAUUACUAGUAAUCGUGGAUCAGCGUGCCACGGUGAAUGCGUUCCCGGGUCUUGUACACACCGCCCGUCACACCAUGGGAGUUGGUUCUACCUUAAGGCAAGGUUUCAAACCCUUGACCACGGUAUAGUCAGCGACUGGGGUGAAGUCGUAACAAGGUAGCCGUAGGGGAACCUGCGGCUG